AUUUCAUCAAAGUGCCGCGUUCCCAGGAAGAACCAGGCAAAGGCUCAUUCUGGAGGAUAGACCCAGCCUCUGAAAGCAAAUUAAUAGAACAGGCUUUUAGGAAACGACGGCCUAGGGGCGUGCCCUGCUUUAGAACCCCUCUGGGACCGCUCUCUUCUAGGAGUGCCCCAGCCUCUCCCAAUCAUGCUGGAGUGCUGUCUGCUCACUCUAGUGGCGCCCAGACCCCUGAGAGCCUGUCGAGGGAAGGUUCGCCAGCCCCCCUGGAGCCUGAGCCUGGCGCCGCACAGCCCAAACUCGCUGUCAUCCAGGAAGCCCGGUUUGCCCAGAGCGCCCCAGGAGGAAGAUGUUGAUCCUAGGGUCACCUCUGUCCAGCCAGCCAGUCUUAAUCACCGUCCAGCGGCAGCUACCACAGGCCAUCAAGCCUGUCACCUACACUGUGGCCACCCCAGUGACUGCCUCGACCGCCCAGCCACCUGUCGUGCAGACGGUUCACGUC
rnacentral:sRNA from 1 species